rnacentral:rRNA from 1 species
UACGUAGGGGGCAAGCGUUGUCCGGAAUCAUUGGGCGUAAAGAGCGUGUAGGCGGCCCGAUAAGUCCGCUGUGAAAGUCCAGGGCUCAACCCUGGAAAGCCGGCCGAUACUGUCGGACUAGAGUCCGGAAGAGGCAAGUGGAAUUCCCGGUGUAGCGGUGAAAUGCGCAGAUAUCGGGAGGAACACCAAUUGCGAAGGCAGCUUGCUGGGACGGUACUGACGCUGAGGCGCGAAAGCGUGGGGAGCAAACAGG